rnacentral:misc_RNA from 1 species
UUGAAUCAGAUUUCAUUAUUAAUAAGCUCAUGACUAGAUCCUGGUCAAGAGAUCAUAACAAAUUGGUAUCAAAGCCGGCUGUCAUGGACGAUACAGAUUCGAGAGAAGAAUUGAGGCCGUUAUUCCAAGAAGCACAAGCACUGACUAAAGCAAGAAUAACACUGGCUGAAUCAAGGAUGAAAGAUCGUAUCAAGCAAUCAAAGUCAAAACUAGAAUCCCAAUUGCAACACUUGUCUCGUUAAUUACAAGAAUUCAUUAAGGGAACUUACAAGAGCCGAGGCAAAGAAAUAGAGAGUGGCUCAAGUAGCAGCAACAACUAUGAAGGCAGCAACAAUAGAAUUAAUGAAAAACAGAAGCGAAACCUGGGGUAGGGGUAGUACCAAGGUAUACGAAGUUAGAUUUUCCAACGUUUGAUAAAUUUGAAGAUCCGUUGAUUUGGUUACAUCGAUGUGAACAAUUUUUUUAAAACCAAUAUACGCCAAAAAUAGAUAAAAUGAACCUCGCAGCAUUCCACAUGACAGGAGAGACAUAACUCCGGUUCUACAGAUUAAAACAAGAAAAACCCCGACUAUCAUUAAAUGCGUUCAAAGAAUAUUACAAUUUGAGAUUUGAGCCUUCACUCAGUAGCAAUCCUUUAGGCGAAUUGGCUAAUCUGAAGCAGACAAAGACGGUGGAAGAAUACCAACAUCAGUUUCAGAGCCUUCUAGCUCGUGCAACAA